rnacentral:rRNA from 1 species
UACCGAUUGAAUGAUUUAGUGAGGUCUUCGGAUCGAUACUCGAUGGCGUUUAGGCGUUGUCGAAGCAUCGAAAAGAUGACCAAACUUGAUCAUUUAGAGGAAGUAAAAGUCGUAACAAGGUUUCCGUAGGUGAAC